AUAAUUACAACUUUCAACAACGGAUCUCUUGGUUCUGGCAUCGAUGAAGAACGCAGCGAAAUGCGAUAAGUAGUGUGAAUUGCAGAAUUCAGUGAAUCAUCGAAUCUUUGAACGCACAUUGCGCCCUUUGGUAUUCCAAAGGGCAUGCCUGUUCGAGCGUCAUUUGUACCCUCAAGCUUUGCUUGGUGUUGGGCGUCUUGUCUCUAGCUUUGCUGGAGACUCGCCUUAAAGUAAUUGGCAGCCGGCCUACUGGUUUCGGAGCGCAGCACAAGUCGCACUCUCUAUCAGCAAAGGUCUAGCAUCCAUUAAGCCUUUUUUUUCAACUUUUGACCUCGGAUCAGGUAGGGAUACCCGCUGAACUUAAGCAUAUCAAUAAGCGGAGGAAAAGAAACCAACAGGGAUUGCCCUAGUAACGGCGAGUGAAGCGGCAACAGCUCAAAUUUGAAAUCUGGCUCUUUUAGAGUCCGAGUUGUAAUUUGCAGAGGGCGCUUUGGCUUUGGCAGCGGUCCAAGUUCCUUGGAACAGGACGUCACAGAGGGUGAGAAUCCCGUACGUGGUCGCUGGCUAUUGCCGUGUAAAGCCCCUUCGACGAGUCGAGUUGUUUGGGAAUGCAGCUCUAAAUGGGAGGUACAUUUCUUCUAAAGCUAAAUAUUGGCCAGAGACCGAUAGCGCACAAGUAGAGUGAUCGAAAGAUGAAAAGCACUUUGGAAAGAGAGUCAAACAGCACGUGAAAUUGUUGAAAGGGAAGCGCUUGCAGCCAGACUUGCUUACAGUUGCUCAUCCGGGUUUCUACCCGGUGCACUCUUCUGUAGGCAGGCCAGCAUCAGUUUGGGCGGUAGGAUAAAGGUCUCUGUCACGUACCUCCUUUCGGGGAGGCCUUAUAGGGGAGACGACAUACUACCAGCCUGGACUGAGGUCCGCGCAUCUGCUA
rnacentral:rRNA from 1 species